rnacentral:tRNA from 1 species
GGGGUCGUGGUCCAAUCUGGCAACGACUAGAGGUUUGGGACCUCUCAAUCUGGGUUCAAAUCCCAGCGACCCCA